CGUGGUACUCGAGCGGCGAACGGGUGAGUAACACGUGAGUAAUCUGCCCCUGGCUUUGGGAUAGCCACCGGAAACGGUGAUUAAUACCGGAUAUGACUGCUUGCCGCAUGGUGGGUGGUGGAAAGUUUUUUCGGCCAGGGAUGUGCUCGCGGCCUAUCAGCUUGAUGGUGAGGUAAUGGCUCACCAUGGCUUCGACGGGUAGCCGGCCUGAGAGGGUGACCGGUCACACUGGGACUGAGACACGGCCCAGACUCCUACGGGAGGCAGCAGUGGGGAAUAUUGGACAAUGGGCGGAAGCCUGAUCCAGCAACGCCGCGUGAGGGAUGACGGCCUUCGGGUUGUAAACCUCUUUCAGUACCGACGAAGCGCAAGUGACGGUAGGUACAGAAGAAGCACCGGCCAACUACGUGCCAGCAGCCGCGGUAAUACGUAGGGUGCGAGCGUUGUCCGGAAUUAUUGGGCGUAAAGGGCUCGUAGGCGGUUUGUCGCGUCGGGAGUGAAAACGCCGUGCUUAACACGGCGCUUGCUUUCGAUACGGGCAGACUAGAGGUAUUCAGGGGAGAACGGAAUUCCUGGUGUAGCGGUGAAAUGCGCAGAUAUCAGGAGGAACACCGGUGGCGAAGGCGGUUCUCUGGGAAUGACCUGACGCUGAGGAGCGAAAGUGUGGGGAGCGAACAGGAUUAGAUACCCUGGUAGUCCACACCGUAAACGUUGGGCGCUAGGUGUGGGGUCCAUUCCACGGAUUCCGUGCCGCAGCUAACGCAUUAAGCGCCCCGCCUGGGGAGUACGGCCGCAAGGCUAAAACUCAAAGGAAUUGACGGGGGCCCCGC
rnacentral:rRNA from 1 species